rnacentral:rRNA from 1 species
UAGGGAAUCUUCGGCAAUGGACGAAAGUCUGACCGAGCAACGCCGCGUGAGUGAAGAAGGUUUUCGGAUCGUAAAACUCUGUUGUUAGAGAAGAACAAGGACGUUAGUAACUGAACGUCCCCUGACGGUAUCUAACCAGAAAGCCACGGCUAACUACGUGCCAGCAGCCGCGGUAAUACGUAGGUGGCAAGCGUUGUCCGGAUUUAUUGGGCGUAAAGCGAGCGCAGGCGGUUUCUUAAGUCUGAUGUGAAAGCCCCCGGCUCAACCGGGGAGGGUCAUUGGAAACUGGGAGGCUUGAGUGCAGAAGAGGAGAGUGGAAUUCCAUGUGUAGCGGUGAAAUGCGUAGAUAUAGGGAGGAACACCAGUGGCGAAGGCGGCUCGCUGGUCUGUAACUGACGCUGAGGCUCGAAAGCGUGGGGAGCAAACAGG